rnacentral:misc_RNA from 1 species
GAAACUGAUAACUUGACUGGCCAGGGCCAAGUGUUUGGAUGUGAUAGACUUCAAACCAGACACCUGCAUAGCACCAGCUCCAAGUACAAGUUGACAAGUUCUCGUAUUGAAAAACUUCAAGAUGUCAACAACACGGUGAACUACUUCUGAUGAUAGGCCAGUCAAACUAUUAUUCAUGUCAAUAUAUUCUGACAACAUCUUCACCAAAAUCAAGCCACAGUUUACCAUGUGAUACGCAACACCCCCAAACGAUAGCAUUCUAGGAGAUGAUCUUCCGCGUUCUCUUGAUUUCGUGU